rnacentral:lncRNA from 1 species
UGCGUCCAUUCCAUAACAACAAUCGAAAUACUUGUUUUUAAUUCUCUUAACUUGAAAUGCAUAAAACUAUUUCGGAACUAUUUCGACUUUUCACAUAUUUGCUAUAUUUCUUUAGUAAAGUUUUAUUUUUGUUUUCUUAAUUUCGUCAUAUUUAUAAACGAUCAUAUGGGAAUACAUAUUGUCGGUAAACUUUCUGUAUUCUUCUGAUGUUUCAGUCUCGUUGAUAUCUCGUUCGGGAUUUACUUUCAAACAUGUGAUACUAGUUGAAAAUAUCAAUGAAUUUGAAAAUAACAUCAUAAUCAAACUGAACUAUGUAAAAAGAAAAAUGUGUUGGAGCAAUAAGUAGCUUUUAAGUAAUAAAAUUUUC